rnacentral:rRNA from 1 species
AGUGAACGCUGGCGGUAGGCCUAACACAUGCAAGUCGAACGGCAGCACAGUAAGAGCUUGCUCUUACGGGUGGCGAGUGGCGGACGGGUGAGGAAUACAUCGGAAUCUACUUUUUCGUGGGGGAUAACGUAGGGAAACUUACGCUAAUACCGCAUACGACCUACGGGUGAAAGCAGGGGAUCUUCGGACCUUGCGCGAUUGAAUGAGCCGAUGUCGGAUUAGCUAGUUGGCGGGGUAAAGGCCCACCAAGGCGACGAUCCGUAGCUGGUCUGAGAGGAUGAUCAGCCACACUGGAACUGAGACACGGUCCAGACUCCUACGGGAGGCAGCAGUGGGGAAUAUUGGACAAUGGGGGCAAGCCUGAUCCAGCCAUACCGCGUGGGUGAAGAAGGCCUUCAGGUUGUAAAGCCCUUUUGUUGGGAAAGAAAAGCAGCAGGUUAAUACCCCGCUGUUCUGACGGUACCCAAAGAAUAAGCACCGGCUAACUUCGUG